CAGAACUUCAGACAUGGAAGCUACAGUAGACGUGGAUGGCUUCGAAACUGCAGAGAUUGUGAUAGGAGAGAAGUGUGUGACUUUCAGAACAAAUGUCAAGAGUAAAGAAGACUUUCAGCGUUGGAAAGAUUUGUUUUGUAUGCAGAAUCGCGUGUGCUUCAACAAGUACAAGGCGUAUUCUGUGGGCCAGAGAAAAUUGUUCCGCCAGACGCUGAAAUGUCACCACGGAAUUCAACACAAAGGCGUCAAGAAGACAUAUACUGGUUGCAAGGUGCUUAUGGAUGUUCAGAUCAAGAUUGUGCAUUCAAGAUCAUCUGAACAGAUAAGGGAUUUUCCAUGUUUCAUGAUGAUCAGGGGGAAUCACCACCAUCCCCUUGACACGGCUGAGGUUUUGAAUGAACUGAGAGUUUUUGCAUGCACCAGAGAGAUGUUCAACAAUUACUUCAGCCAAGAAUUCUUAUACGGUCUGGUGAAGCUUAUGCGUCUUCUUCCUCGACCAAUGCAAAGUGCAUAAAAUGUAAUGCAAGGUUAAGAAAAAAACAAAUAUGGUAUGACACCAGGUCAAGCAUACAGGCACCAUUUGUUAAAGAUGGACUUAACAGAAGACUUAUACGAUCAAGCCAAUAAGUCUAUAAACCCUUCUCCAAAGUCUAUUGAAUAUAUGUGGACAGCAUGGAGGCAGAGUGAGCAUGGAGGACUAAAUACCCCAUCAAUGUUUGAUGCAAUAAAGA